UACAGAGGUCCCAAGCGUUGUUCGGAUUCAUUGGGCGUAAAGGGUGCGUAGGUGGCUCGGUAAGUCGGGUGUGAAAUCCCGGGGCUUAACCCCGGAACUGCACUCGAUACUGCCGUGCUCGAGUACUGGAGAGGAGACUGGAAUUUACGGUGUAGCAGUGAAAUGCGUAGAUAUCGUGAGGAAGACCGGUGGCGAAGGCUGGUCUCUGGACAGUUACUGACACUGAGGCACGAAGGCCAGGGGAGCAAACGGG
rnacentral:rRNA from 1 species